rnacentral:rRNA from 1 species
GUGGAGCAUGUGGCUUAAUUUGACUCAACGCGGGAAAUCUUACCGGGUCCGGACACACUGAGGAUUGACAGAUAUACGCUGCGUUAUGUCCUUCGGGACUGCGUGGCUCAAAGAUGCUAGUUCUUUCAUGAUUAUGUGAUAGGUGGUGCAUGGCCGUUCUUAGUUCGUGGAGUGAUCUGUCUGCUUAAUUGCGUAUCAAUAAUAGAGACCUAGUAUACGUGCAUUACUCAUGUGGUAGUGACCCCCUCUUCGCGGAGGCGCGUGUCGCACAUAUGGUAUGCGCACUGGUCUCAGAUAGCAACGAACGUGACCGUAUUCUAUUGUUGCAGUGAAUUAUACGUGCUGCUCUUUACCGAGUUAGUUACAUCCCACUGCUUAGUGUGCGCGGCGUAUUUCGGUACUCGCGUCACACAUUAAACUAUAGAGACCGCUGUUUCUUCUUUAAACCAGAGGAAGGAUAC